GCCACAGCUUCCCAAAGUGCUGGGAUUACAGGUGUGAACCACCACGCCCAGCCCUCUUUCCUAGUCUUGAUGUGUUCAUCUGGGCAAUGUGUGUAGGGGGUGCGGAUAGGGAGGGGAGCUCUAAGGCGAAUGUGCUAGGAUUCUGCAUUUGUCAUCCUCAAAACAAAUUUGUCACUGGGUAAUUCUGCCUGUGAUCCUGCAUAAUGUGCAAAGGCAGUUAAGAUGCCUUUGCCUCGUCCCCAGGGAACAUGCCUCCCAGCCACUUGCCCACACAGAAAGGCAGCCACCUCCCUGCUGAAGGGAUCCCACGCCUGUCUCCUGUUUCCACACAAUUACCCCGGGAAAUGCCUGGCUUCCCAUUUCCAGCUGCAGCCAUCGUGACAGUUUCAGCCUCUCCCCUCAGCCCACGUCCCUCACUUGAGCAGCGAGAUGUGAAGAUGGACAGCCGCUUGAGAACUGCACAGACUGUCCUUAAUCUAAGCCAUUUAAAAGGCAUUUGUGUUCCAUAAAACCCGUUUCCGUAAUUCUGUGCCCCUACUUCUUUGAAAGAUGGUAACCCUAGGGAGGAGAAGAAAUUAGCCAGGGAGGAGAAGUUCAGAUGUGCUAAUAUUUUAAUCGCUCAUUCUUUCAUCACAUUAGUCACAUUCAUUAAGUAUGAUUAAUUUCAGGCUUUGUUGAAAACCCUAUCAGUUUCCCUAUCAGCCAGACAUCCAUCUCUUACCAAGCAGGCUGCUGCAGUAGCACCAAAAGUCCCCCAAUAUUUUUUACACCUGGAUUGUAUUAUGUGCCCCCUGAAAAUUUGUGGAAUUAAUUGAACUCAUUUGUUUCAAAUACUUUGCAAGAGCCUGGGCUCUUGAGUCAGGCGGCCUAAGUGUGAUCCCAAGUCCUCCAAUUGCUGGAGUCACUUGGGCAAGUGACUGAUGCCCUCUGAGCCCUGGUGUCCUCGUCUGAGGAUGGAGAUAAGAAUACCUAUCUCAAAGGUUGGUUGUGAAGAUGAAAGAAGGCUUUCAAAUUGCUAAGUUAGUUGGUUGUGAUUGUAAUUAAGGGCUCUUGGAGAUGGAUCAUUCAUCCAUUCAGAAGAUUUGUGUACAGUGACUAUAUGCAAAGCUGUGUGUCCACUACUGAUGAGAGAGACAGCUGCGAACACAGCAGUCAAACGUGUGUGGCUCCCAGGACCUUAUAUUUUACUUGCGGAAGCUAGACAACCACCAAACGUGUAAUAUACGAGAUGGUGGUACGUUCUCUGGAGGAAAGAAAGGACGAGGGGCAGGGAGUCCUGGGCUGGUGGGACAGAGUGCUAUGGCUCAGAGGGAACUCAGAGAGAACCUGAUUCAGGCCCUGACCUGGAGGACUCAUGCUUUGCACACUGUGCUAAGAAUUUGGACUUUCUUUCUCCAAGAAUAAGGACAACGAGAGCCAGCAAGUGGGGAAGUAGAGCUAGGAUGAUGCCGGCCGGCUGCUCACCUGCUGGCUGGAACUCCCGGAGGACACUGUGAGGAUACGGGUAGAAGAUUUGAAUCCAAAUAACUGAUGAUUUGUUCCAUGAAUGCCAGAGCUGGAAGGGAUGGGGAUGGCGGAAGAGACAAGACUGGAUCAUGGACCUGGUGGUUCUGUGCAGAGGCCAAAGCUACUCUCCUUCCCACCUGGCCCUGUGUUGGGCCUAACCUGGAGCCCCCUCCAUCCUCUGCCUCAUUCACCUCUGGUUCAAGGUCCGGCACAAACUCCACAUCCUCCAGGAAGCCCUGGUGAACUUGGGCAGACCUGGAGACACGUCCAACCUCCUGGCAAGAUGGGGGUUACAGGAGUGUGUAUAAAGGGGAAGGCAAGAAUGUGCCCUUGGAGGAGCAGUGAAAAGAAGCCUUCAUGUGACGAGUGCUUUGCUCCUAACCCACCCCCUGUGGUGACAUCUUCUAGGUUAACUGCUCUUGCUGAUCUCUGCACAUAAACCAAGCUAACUGUGGGAGGACUUUUGUUUCUAGUUUAAAGCAAGGAGGACCACAGUUCCUUCCAAACGCUCACCCCCAAGGAGAUAAGGAGGGCAUCCCAUGAGCAACACUGUGUGUUAAAGAUGCACAUGAGCACUAGGACUCGACCAAGGACAAACACGUCUCCAGGCCCCUCAGACCCUCGCUGCUGCCCAGAUGUCCAUUGUCAUCAGUCACAUCCUAACCUCAACCCCCUCCCCUCCUCCCACGUAAAAGGAGGCUGAAAUUCAUAGUAACUUCAGAUGGUUCUUUAGGACACUGGCCCACCACCUUCUCAGUUGCUGGCUCUCCAAAACAAAGCUCCCUCCCUUGACCCAACUCCUUGUCUUUUGACGUACUGGCUGUCAUGCAGUGCGUGGCACCGGCUUGAACUCGGUUAUGUUGGCACGGUCUCUGGCAGUGUUCAGUGUGUGUGGAUGAGUAUUUUACAGCUACUGUUCUAUUUCUAGUCCCCUUCCUGUGGACGGCUGUGGGAUGUGCUGUGGAUGCCCUCUCUUAGGCUGGAAUAAACCGCCCUACCUUCUC